UAUUAUGAUUGGAUAUGUUAUAUCUAUCUUUCAUUUACAGGUAAAUUUAUUUCCAUUUUAAUUGUAGCUACAAAUGAAUAGUUUUCAUAUGUAGUGAGGUACAUGGGUUUAAUUGUUGUAAUUUCAAUAAUAUCAGGUAAACUUGUUUCAACAGAUGUGUGUGUGUGUGUGUUACAUGUGAUCAAUGUGGAUCAUCCUUGGGAUCGGCUAUACUUCACUAGUCGAUCCAGCGGUUGGUUUAUGCUGAUUUGAUUUGCAUCUUAUUUAUGGUAUGAAUGAUGUAUGUUUAUUGUGUUGUUUUUAUUUUCUAAACUGUGUUUGCUUUCAAACAUCACGCGCUAGCUUCUAAAUGUUUUUUUUUCACUUUUGUUUUCAAAUCCGACGUGCAUGUGCUUCUAUUUUAAGUCGCUAAGGUGGGCCAAAUAACUGCAGUACUUUGGUUAUACCAUCUUGUCAACUUUAAAUACAAUCAUGUGCGAAAUCAGUAAGCAGGCCGUAUAUUUUACAUUAUUGUGAAAUAUUAGGACUGGGUGGAGGUGGGCUUUACUGGAUUCAAUUCAAAAAAAAAAUAAACAACGAAAAGAAAACAAUGAAACUAAACUAAACAAAAAGAAAACCUUUAAACAAAACGAUUUAAAUUGAUGCGAGCUCUCCGAGGAACAUCGAUGAUGGCGCAGCGUGGGAUCAUCAGGCCAAAUUCCUUUCAUGUCCUCGUCCCCUUUCAUCAUCAUCUUACUAACAACUUUUCCUAACCUUGGUUCAGCUUCAUUCUUCCCCCCCGACCGUCAGGAAGGACAUCAUUCACUCUCAAAUAAAUCCACGUGGUUGGUCUGCUCUUCACUUCACCAUCAGUAUUAAACUCAAACUUUAAAUCACGAUUUAACUUUGUUGUAUUUUCGAAAAAAAAAGAAGAAAUAACCAAAAGAAUAAAAUACUAUAAUUUACGAAAAAAAAA